GUUGGGUUAGCUCAAUGGUUAGAGCUUAGGUCUCGUGACCGGAAGUUCCUGGGAACGAAUCCCACUAGAGACA
rnacentral:tRNA from 1 species